UCCUGAUGUCCGGCGAAGAAGGUCCUGUUCCAGGUGUUAAAGUCUUAUUCCAAGAGGCCGACAUCUUCUUCCAAGUGGGGACCACUUCCUUCUUCAUCCAAGACCAAGCCGGCGUGGAGCAGAGAUAAGCGCAGAGCAGGGCCAGCGACCACGGAGCUAUGGAGUGUGGAGGAUCCACUUCGUAUGAUCGCCGCACACAGAAUAGUGAAUUCAAGGGCGUCAUUCAGCCAGAAGACUCCUUUCCAGUCAUGGCUACAGCACCUGAACUGUCUGCAGCACCUAGCACCUCAGCCCAGAUGUCUUCUCCUGCGGUGCCUAUUUCCCAGGUCACAGACGCUUCUCCAGUUUGAGCGGCUUCGGAGUUAGCAAGGCAGGAACCCCCUUUGACAGCUGCUGGUAAACUAUAUUGGUUACUAUGACAACCGGCAGACCUGCGCAGUGUGUAAUGCAGGAUGUCGGGGACACUUCCGGUCGCUACGUGGUGAUGGUGGUGUAUAAAAUGCAUUCUAUUUUGUAAUGUUUUUAAUGGUCUGAGGACGGAGCUAACUACCCCGAAACGUCACUAAAUUAAUAAAGUAUCUUAUUUAAGA